rnacentral:rRNA from 1 species
GACGAACGCUGGCGGCGUGCCUAAUACAUGCAAGUAGAACGCUGAAGAGAGGAGCUUGCUCUUCUUGGAUGAGUUGCGAACGGGUGAGUAACGCGUAGGUAACCUGCCUGGUAGCGGGGGAUAACUAUUGGAAACGAUAGCUAAUACCGCAUAAAAUUGAUUAUUGCAUGAUAAUUAAUUGAAAGAUGCGAUUGCAUCACUACCAGAUGGACCUGCGUUGUAUUAGCUAGUUGGUGAGGUAACGGCUCACCAAGGCGACGAUACAUAGCCGACCUGAGAGGGUGAUCGGCCACACUGGGACUGAGACACGGCCCAGACUCCUACGGGAGGCAGCAGUAGGGAAUCUUCGGCAAUGGGGGGAACCCUGACCGAGCAACGCCGCGUGAGUGAAGAGGGUUUUCGGAUCGUAAAGCUCUGUUGUAAGAGAAGAACGGGUGUGAGAGUGGAAAGUUCACACUGUGACGGUAUCUUACCAGAAAGGGACGGCUAACUACGUGCCAGCAGCCGCAGUAAUAC